GUCACGCUGUGCCGCCCAGUCGCGGACACCAUCUUCCACAGUGCCCCGACCCCACACUCGGAGAGUCUUUCCAACUGCAGCGCCGCCGACGUAACCUCGAGUCUUGGAGGUUAAUGGCGCGGUAACCAAGGGGAUUCUUGAUCCCCGGGGUAGCAGCUAGAACUGCAAGGCUGCGGGGAAGAGGCCUGGCCUUGGGUGUGCGGGUAAAACACGCCUCAAGCUCACUCUUUCCCGAUCUGCCGCCCUCACCCAGUGCCCACCCCGUGCCGUCCUCGCAGCCCUGGGAUGCUCGCUGGGAUGUCACGGGACGCCGAGCUAGGACCUCCCUGCGCGGGGAAAGCAGAGGGAAGGAGCGGGAGAGGGAGGGGCUGCUGCCAGUGGGAACGCGGGUUCUUCCGGGGUAGCAGAGCGGGACUGCCGCGUUCCCCUCGAUUUGCACCGUCACUCGGACCGCUUGGGAAGAAGAGGGAGGCGCUGUGCGUGCCGCGGGGUACCUGGACCCGGGCACACAGCGUGUAUGCAUGUGUACGAGUGUCUCCGCCGCUGUCUCAGUGCUCUGGGCUUCGGCGACGUCCGGAGCGAGUUCGAGGGUCACCUCCAGAAACUCGCAGAAACUGGAAGAGGGUGAUGGGAGGACACACACACCUCCUUCCUCGGAAGGACUUGGAAGACUUUGCAUCUCCCCUCCCCCACUUUUCCGCCUGGCUCUUCUUUUGUUGUCAAGUCCUUUUGAUAAAUGGUGGGACCGGGAGCCUGGAGUCCGCCUGUGCCGCUCGGGGCGGGGGCCGAGGCUGGAGGCCGGGUUUCGACUAGCGGGCACCGGGAGGGGAGCUGGGUGCGCGCGGGGGUCUGGACUGCCCUCGAGAGCUCGUCCUGUCCUCUCGAGCUACUCCAUUCCCUUUCCCUUUCUGUCUCCCACCCUCAAGGGUACCGAGAACUUUGUGGGGUGAGUUUAAGAAUUUUUUCCUAGGCUUUUUUUUUUUCCUGCUUUUUAAUUUUCUCCCUUUAUUCUUUAGGUUGGUAAACUUCAUGAGAUGGUAACUUGACUAAAGCUAAUCUGGAGAGGAGAUAGGAGGGGUGUGGGGAGGUGUGUAAGAACACACCUGCAUUCAUUCAAGGGGAGUUGUGGGGUCUCCGCGAGGCCACCCCACCGAGGAAGGUAAGUUGGCGAGACGGUGGCGCUAUCACCCGCCAGGCUGUGAGGUUGUCUGAAGAUCUUUGGAGAGCGAGUCCCUGGCUCUGGUUUCCGAGGGCGGACAGUCCUGAGCUGUCCCCGCAGGGCUGUCUCUGUGACGCCGCUCGUGUCCUGAGGGUGUUAGUGUCUGCCUGUGUCACAGUGAAUGGCGUCUAGUUGUCAGCUCGGGCCCAAGGCAGUGUUUCUGGUGUCGCAAGCGCGGCCGCGAGCCGCUUGUCGCCGCUUUCUCCCCCACAGGCCCUGAGUACUGAGGCUGUGGACAGAAUGGAGGUGACUUCAGGUCAGUGCGUCCUUCCCCACUCUCUGCCAGUCUCCAGGCGCAGUUUCCCCCUUUGCUCUCAUUCCAGCAGCUUUCUUACGGCGCCGGGCAGCUCAAGGAAGGCCCCCAGGACCCAAGCCUGAGGGAGCUGUGGAAUGGCUCCCGCGCACUCGAGGGCAGCCGCACUCGCUGGCGGGUCUGCUCUGUGCGUCGUGGGCGCAGGUCGCGGGUCGCUCGUGUUCUCUAUGCUCCAAACUCAACUCCAAAGGUCGGAGCGCUUGGGGGCGCCUGCAUGCCCCUGGCUUUUGGGAGGUGCCAGCGUCCGAGCCUGCGCAGAGGUGCGGUCGGCAGACUCCCCCGGGAGCGCAGGGCCCGGGUGGUGGGGGUUAUUAAUUACUCCGCUGGGCCUAAUGCCUUCAACCCCAGGCGGCGGCUGGCUUGGGUAUCCUGCGGGUUUUAUUUGCACACAAUGGAAAUGAUUUGUUUUCUCUAAAAAAGGAGUGGGCAUGGCAGAUAUUUGAGGAAGGGGGUGGGAGGAGGAGAAGGAAGGGAGAGAGCUGAGGAAAAAAGUUUGAAAAUGCCUUGAACUAUUCACUGUCGAGAUGGCUAAUCAGUAUUGAGGCCGGAGGGCAGGCGGGCCGCCUUUCACCGCCGCUUCCCUUUCAUCUCGGGCUCGGCGGAGGCGCUCAAUUAAAAGCCUAUCAGUUUGUAAGUAAAUCAACGCCUAUCAGAGUUGUCACAUCAAACAAAACGAUUAUUAUUGCAGCCCGCCUCCCCUAUUAAUCUCCCUCGAAGAUAAUCCGCCUGACAGGUCAGGCCCGGCGAGCUGGAAAGCCUGGCCCAGAGCGCCCAGACAGUCCCGGACUGGCGCGCGCCCCCAGGGACCUCCCCACCAACGUCCUGUUCCGCCUUGCAGUCCCCGGGGAGGAGCGAGAGAAAGAGCUCGGGGAGGCCGCGGAGGCCCCUGGACCCAGGCCCGCCCCACCCGACGGGGAGCGGGACCCGGAUUCGCUGGGCGUAGGAGACCGUUCCGCGCAGCCCCUGACUUUUCGCGGGGUCUGGGAAGCCCCAGACUUGCGAAAGUGGUGGUCUGGCUUGGUCCUGGGGACCUCGCCUUGGCCUGCGCUCUUCUAGUCUCUCUUACACUGAGCCCUUUCCCUCUCCUCUCUGUUCCACCUCGACUCUAACUCCCCCCACCUCAUUUCCUUUUCCUUUCCCCCCUCUCCUACUUGCAGGGAAUAUUCCUGUAUCGUCCCUCCUCUCAGUAAACCGUGUACACCACCUCCUGCACAACGAAGCUGUCUUCACUGUACCUAGAGCAUUCUCGGCCGAGAAUCCACGGAUUUCUCUGGCUGUCGUUUGUGCUGAAUUUAUCCAAAUUUGAAUUUAUUCAAAGCCAGCAAUCAGGCAUCCAGCAGAACCAGCUUUCUACUGGCAAGUACUGUACACUACGCCUCGCCUGGCCAGGGGUGAGGGGGUGGCUCUUGGGGCACAGGGGUGGCGAGUAUCAUCUCCGAGGUCAGAUGUACCAAAGGUGCCCUCAGGCCCAGCAGUCUCUCGCUGCCCAGCAGUGUCUGGCCGCCCCUGCUUUGCCUAACACCCAAAACAAGCCAGGCCAAGUCCGCUCUCAGCGAAAACUGAAAGGAAACUCUACUGCAGGCGUAGCCCGAAGUUUCUUUGAAGCAAGUUUGCAACUGAGAUUAUUGACGGCUUUGGGAGGACAGCGGGCUCAUGUGAGCGCUCUCCCGGUGGGGUGGGGUCUAAGAAGGGCACCGGGUGCCCUGUCGUGGCCCUAGGUGAAAACACUAGGGAAGCCCGCCGCUCCUUCGAAACUCUUCGGCUCUGGAUGGUAAAAAGAAAGAAAGUUUCCAAGCUACCACGGACAACCUGCAUGGAUCUCGCUAGGGGGGCAACGGGAGGGGGCUGGCUUUGGAAAAGUUGCUGAAAGCCCUGCUCAGAAACGUCACCCUAUGAAACUCAAAAAAACUUAGGACCAGUUUGCCUUCCUUGAGACAGAGUGGUCAGGAAUCAGGCUGGGCAGCCCUCUGCCCACUUCUCAACCCUCACCUCUAGCAAGAGGUCAAAGAACCACCACCGCCAGCGUUGCAAACUUUCAGCUCUGCGCUGCCAACCGCGAACAAGGCCUGGACACAGAGGGAUGGGAGAGACCACCCCCGGCAGGAUGGGAGGAUGAGCGCGGUUCCCCCUAGUUUGUUCCGGGCCCCAGAGUCCAUCCCCCAACCCUAGGCAUUCGGCGCUUUUCCCGGGAGCUGCGGAUUGGGGAGCCUGGUGAGGGGCGCAAAGUGCACGCGCGGACUGGCGCGGGGGCGGCUG